GUUAGGAAUAUUGGACAAUGGGCGCAAGCCUGAUCCAGCCAUGCCGCGUGAGUGAUGAAGGCCUUCGGGUUGUAAAGCUCUUUAGUCCACGAAUAUAAUGACUGUAGUGGAAGAAUAAGCCCCGGCUAACUUCGUGCCAGCAGCCGCGGUAAUACGAAGGGGGCGAGCGUUAUUCGGAAUCACUGGGCGUAAAGCGUGCGUAGGCUGUUUUGUAAGUCAGAAGUGAAAGCCCAGGGCUUAACCCUGGAAUUGCGUUUGAAACUACAAGACUCGAAUUCGGGAGAGGAUAGCGGAAUUGUCAGUGUAGCAGUGAAAUGCGUAGAUAUUGACAGGAACACCAGUGGCGCAAGCGGCUAUCUGGACCGAUAUUGACGCUGAGGCACGAAAGCGUGGGGAGCAAACAGGAUUAGAAACCCGAGUAGUCC
rnacentral:rRNA from 1 species